rnacentral:misc_RNA from 1 species
AACGCACCUUGCGCUCCUUGGUAUUCCUCGGAGCAUGCCUGUUUGAGUAUCAUGAAAUCCUCAAAAUAAAUCUUUUGUUCAUUCGAUUGAUUUUAUUUUGGACUUGGGGGUCUGCAGAUUCACGUCUGCUCCUCUUAAAUUCAUUAGCUGGAUCUCGAUGAGCUCGGUUCCACUCGGCGUGAUAAGUAUCACUCGCUGAGGACACUGUAAAAGGUGGCCGGGAUUGUUAAAGAACCGCUUCUAAUAGUCUAUUAGCUUAGACAAUUUUAUUUAUGAUCUGAUCUCAAAUCAGGUAGGACUACCCGCUGAACUUAA